rnacentral:rRNA from 1 species
UACGAAGGGGGCUAGCGUUGCUCGGAAUUACUGGGCGUAAAGGGCGCGUAGGCGGGUUAUCAAGUUGGGGGUGAAAGCCCGGGGCUCAACCUCGGAAUUGCCUUCAAAACUGAUAACCUGGAGUAUGGAAGAGGUAAGUGGAACUCCGAGUGUAGAGGUGAAAUUCGUAGAUAUUCGGAAGAACACCAGUGGCGAAGGCGACUUACUGGUCCAUUACUGACGCUGAGGCUCGAAAGCGUGGGGAGCAAACAGG